rnacentral:misc_RNA from 1 species
AGAAUGAAGAAGAUGCCCAACCACACUGUUUAGCUUGGGAUUGUUUGAAAAGCUCCCAUGCCCACAAUCAUGGCCAAGAACAAACAAAGCCCAAAACAUGGUUCCUUGAGCAGCCCAGUAUAAAGGCCAAACAAUCCAAUUGUUAAGAUAAGCUGCAGCUGCAGCCAAACCGAAUACCAGAGCAACAUCCCUCACCACAUAGCUCAUUGAUUUCCACGGAUCCUUAACCCAACAAUGCUUUGGUAUGGCCGCUCUGAUAUCAGCCAAUUUGAACGGUGGCGGCGCUCCAGGAUCAAAUUCGGCUUCUUCUUCAUGUUCAAUCCCAGUAACGCCAUUUGUUCUCUCUUCUUCUCCUUCUAUCGAAUCAACUCCAUAUGGAGCACUGACUUUAAACCCCCAACUCCUCUCUCUAAAACACCCAUUAGAAAAAUUGACGUAGGGGAAUCUCAGAUCUGCAGAAGAAGAAAUCUUGCCAGCGUGCAACAAUCUGAGCUUUAACGAGUUGGUGCGAGAAACGGCUUCAGUUCUGGGUCUAGGAAAUAAACGAGGGAGAGGCUUUAAGCCACAUUCUGAUAAGACCCAGGUCGCCAUUGAACACAGAGAUGGAGCAGAGCACCUCUCUCCGCGACUGCGUCACUCUCAAGCUCGAGAACCAAUAUGUAUCAAGGACGAAAAGAAAAUGCGACA